GGCGGCAUGCCUUACACAUGCAAGUCGAACGGCAGCGCGGGAGCAAUCCUGGCGGCGAGUGGCGAACGGGUGAGUAAUAUAUCGGAACGUGCCCAGUAGUGGGGGAUAGCCCGGCGAAAGCCGGAUUAAUACCGCAUACGACCUGAGGGUGAAAGCGGGGGAUCGCAAGACCUCGCGCUACUGGAGCGGCCGAUAUCAGAUUAGCUAGUUGGUGGGGUAAAGGCCUACCAAGGCAACGAUCUGUAGUUGGUCUGAGAGGACGACCAGCCACACUGGGACUGAGACACGGGCCAGACUCCUACGGGAGGCAGCAGUGGGGAAUUUUGGACAAUGGGCGCAAGCCUGAUCCAGCAAUGCCGCGUGCAGGAAGAAGGCCUUCGGGUUGUAAACUGCUUUUGUCAGGGAAGAAAUCUUCUGGGCUAAUACCCCGGGAGGAUGACGGUACCUGAAGAAUAAGCACCGGCUAACUACGUGCCAGCAGCCGCGGUAAUACGUAGGGUGCGAGCGUUAAUCGGAAUUACUGGGCGUAAAGCGUGCGCAGGCGGCUUUGCAAGACAGAGGUGAAAUCCCCGGGCUCAACCUGGGAACUGCCUUUGUGACUGCAAGGCUAGAGUACGGCAGAGGGGGAUGGAAUUCCGCGUGUAGCAGUGAAAUGCGUAGAUAUGCGGAGGACACCGAUGGCGAAGGCAA
rnacentral:rRNA from 1 species